CCAUUCUACCAAGCAGACAAAAGAUUCCCACUGGUUUCUUUGCAGUGAAUCUCCUACAAAUAACAGCCUUUUCCCUUGAAGCUUUUGGAGGGCAAGCUCUGGAUUGAAACUACAAAGGAAUAAUGUGUGUAAUAUCAGGUUUUGAACUUAAAAAUUGACUUGGAAGAGAGGAAACUGAGUCUCUCUGCAUACAAGACAGCUAUGAAGAAAAGAACACAGAGAGUGGUGAUAAUGAUGGGCAGAGGAAGCUUUCCUCUGAGAGGCUUCAUUAUUCCUGAAGGGAUCAUGAGGAAAGGGAUGAGAGAAGAAGCUUAAAGGUGUGAAGAGAGAGAAUGAAUUAAUGAAAAGCACAACAGAAUGAUGAGGACAUUGUAGAAAGAGUUUAGAGGGGAAGGUUUUAUUGCAUUUUUGAGUAGGAGUGAAGUUAAAGCAUUUUAUGUUUUGUUCAUGUUAAAAAAAUGCAAAAGGGUACUGGAGGUUAAGGAAUGAGUUGAGAGGCUAACAUCUUUGUCCAUGUAGAGUAAGCUAUGAAUUUGGCCAACCAAUCAUGCUUUCUAGUUCUUACAUAUACGUAGAUGAUGUAGUAUAUUCAUCAGGUGGGAAAUAUACUAUUGGAAGGUUUGUUAA